UGGCGUAUAAAAUUAUAAUCCUGGUACUUUUGAUAACUAUUUACACCACUGGGUCGAUGCCACUGCUGGUGGACGUUUCGUCCCCGAGGGUAUCACCAGCCCAGUAGUCAGCACUUCGGUGUUGACAUGAAUAUCAAUUAUAUGGUCAUUUUUAUAAAUUUUUAUAAAUUUUCUGUUUACAAAACUUUUGAAUUUUUCGAAAAACUAAGGAUUUUCUU
rnacentral:lncRNA from 1 species